CCUACGGGGGGCAGCAGUGAGGAAUAUUGGUCAAUGGGCGAGAGCCUGAACCAGCCAAGUCGCGUGAGGGAGUACUGCCCUAUGGGUUGUAAACCUCUCUUGUCGGGGAGCAAAAGCCGGACGUGUCCGGCUGUGAGAGUACCCGAAGAAAAAGCAUAGGCUAACUCCGUGCCAGCAGCCGCGGUAAUAGGGAGGAUGCGAGCGUUAUCCGGAUUUAUGGGGUUUAAAGGGUGCGCAGGCGGAGUUUGAAGUCAGCGGGCAAAUCGUGGGGCUCAACCCCAUCCAGCCGUUGAAACUGGGGAUCUAGAGUGUGCGAGAGGUAUGCGGAAUGCGUGGUGUAGCGGUGAAAUGCAUAGAUAUCACGCAGAACCCCGAUUGCGAAGGCAGCAUACCGGUGCACAACUGACGCUCAGGCACGAAAGCGUGGGUAUCGAACAGGAUUAGAUACCCUAGUAGUC
rnacentral:rRNA from 1 species